rnacentral:rRNA from 1 species
GACGAACGCUGGCGGCGCGCUUAACACAUGCAAGUCGAACGGAAAGGCCUGCUUUCCCUUGUGGAUUGCGGGUACUCGAGUGGCGAACGGGUGAGUAACACGUGAGUGAUCUGCCCCCAACUUGGGUAUAAGCCUGGGAAACUGGGUCUAAUUCCCGAUAGGACUGCAGGGUGGUGCCUGUGGUGGAAAACGAUUUUCUAGUGGUUGGGGAUGAGCACGCGGCCUAUCAGCUUGUUGGUGGGGUAAUGGCCUACCAAGGCGGCGACGGGUAGCCGGCCUGGGAGGGUGGACGGCCACAUUGGGACUGAGAUACGGCCCAGACUCCUACGGGAGGCAGCAGUGGGGAAUAUUGCACAAUGGGCGGAAGCCUGAUGCAGCGACGCCGCGUGGGGGAUGACGGCCUUCGGGUUGUAAACUCCUUUCGACCGCGAGGAAGCCACCUGGUUGGAAGGGUGGUGACGGUAGUGGUAGAAGAAGCACCGGCUAACUACGUG